GGAGGCACCGCUGGCCUCAGGAAAGUUACCUGCUGUCCGGGAAAGCCAGAAAGCCUCAGCCCCACGUUCUUGGUGGCAGGGAAGGUGGACACAGGCCAGACGCAGAAGGAAAACCCAGGCUCGGCCAGUCUGAGCGUGGGUCCCUGUUUCUAGCUGCCUGUGUCCAGGCCACCCUGAUACUCUGGCUUCCGGGAUGCAUGAGCGUCCCACCUGGACGAAUGAGCACACGCAGGAGCCUUCCUUGAGGAGAUUCCUGGAUCUGAGAACCAGGUGUGUGUGUGGGAGGGGGGAACAGGUACUUUUCCUCUCGUCCUCACAGAUGGCUGGCAGGCACCCUGUUUUCAACACCACAGGGAACCACGUUUCCAAGAAAAAGCUCCCGGAGCCACAGCAAGACAAAGGGGUUGUAUGUCACUUGGGGCAUCCCUUGGCUGUCAGCCUGAGGAAAUGUCUGGAACCUACCAGAGAAGCAGCUUCAGGUUACACGGAGCGGGGCUGUGGAGACUAGAGGGUGUGGUCCCAGGCCCAGCAGCCAGCCCCAGCCCCGGCCCAGGCUCCUGUGGGGAUGAGAGGCCCAGGCACUGAGGGAUGAUGGCACCCCAGAUGUCUGUUCAUUAUUUUCUCUGUCGGGAAGUCGGUCCUUCUUAACGGACUCCUAGCGGGCCACAAAUGGGGAGCACAUCACUUAGCCAUCAAAGGGGGUUUUGCCCAAUUAGUUCAGUCCCCAAGUCCAGAAUCAUUGGGCUGGGUGUUGUGGUCUUUCCUCAGAUCUUCAUGACUCACAGCCAGAAUUACACACACCGAUCCUGAAACACACACACACAGUCAUAGACACACAAGCAUGUGGGUAUGCACCUCCCCCACACACACGCGCAGACGCAGAGACACGCCCUAACCUAGAAACACACACACAAACACACACACACCACAAACUCAUCCAAAGAUACAUGUGCAGAGACAUAAGGACCAACCCCCUCCACAUGCCCCCAAGGACACACACACACAUUAA